rnacentral:rRNA from 2 species
CGACUCCAUGAAGUCGGAAUCGCUAGUAAUCGUGGAUCAGAAUGCCACGGUGAAUACGUUCCCGGGCCUUGUACACACCGCCCGUCACACCAUGGGAGUGGGUUGCAAAAGAAGUAGGUAGCUUAACCUUCGGGAGGGCGCUUACCACUUUGUGAUUCAUGACUGGGGUGAAGUCGUAACAAGGUAACCGUAGGGGAACCUGCGGUUGGAUCACCUCCUUACCUUAAAGAAGC